CAAGACCGUGCCGCCCGUCAUACGCACCUACUAGGGUAACUUAGGUGAGAUAUAGUGAUGUAUUGGUGCAGACAAAGUGCCGCUCGAGCAGCACUGGCGCAAGCACACGAUAGCGGAGACGGACCCGCACACGGGCGCCACGCGGCUCAGCUACCGGCCCGUCAUCGACCACACGCUCGACCAGGACGAGUGCAAGACCGUGCCGCCCGUCAUACGCACCUACUAGGGUAACUUAGGUGAGCUAUAGUGAUGUAUUGGUGCAGACAGAGUGCCGCUCGAGCAGCACUGGCGCAAGCACACGAUAGCGGAGACGGACCCGCACACGCCACGCGGCUCAGCUACCGGCCCGUCAUCGACCACAUGCUCGACCAGGACGAGUGCAAGACCGUGCCGCCCGUCAUACGCACCUACUAGGGUAACUUAGGUGAGCUAUAGUGAUGUAUUGGUGCAGACAAAGUGCCGCUCGAGCAGCACUGGCGCAAGCACACGAUAGCGGAGACGGACCCGCACACGGGCGCCACGCGGCUCAGCUACCGGCCCGUCAUCGACCACACGCUCGACCAGGACGAGUGCAAGACCGUGCCGCCCGUCAUACGCACCUACUAGGGUAACUUAGGUGAGAUAUAGUGAUGUAUUGGUGCAGACAAAGUGCCGCUCGAGCAGCACUGGCGCAAGCACACGAUAGCGGAGACGGACCCGCACACGGGCGCCACGCGGCUCAGCUACCGGCCCGUCAUCGACCACACGCUCGACCAGGACGAGUGCAAGACCGUGCCGCCCGUCAUACGCACCUACUAGGGUAACUUAGGUGAGCUAUAGUGAUGUAUUGGUGCAGACAGAGUGCCGCUCGAGCAGCACUGGCGCAAGCACACGAUAGCGGAGACGGACCCGCACACGCCACGCGGCUCAGCUACCGGCCCGUCAUCGACCACAUGCUCGACCAGGACGAGUGCAAGACCGUGCCGCCCGUCAUACGCACCUACUAGGGUAACUUAGGUGAGCUAUAGUGAUGUAUUGGUGCAGACAAAGUGCCGCUCGAGCAGCACUGGCGCAAGCACACGAUAGCGGAGACGGACCCGCACACGGGCGCCACGCGGCUCAGCUACCGGCCCGUCAUCGACCACACGCUCGACCAGGACGAGUGCAAGACCGUGCCGCCCGUCAUACGCACCUACUAGGGUAACUUAGGUAAUCUCUCAAUAUGGCUGCUGACUGAUCGAAGAGCAGUAUUCGUAUUCCUUCAGCGCGCAUCUCGGCUCGACUUGCUUCUUUCUGCUUUCAUGUCAUUAUUUAUUUCAUUAUUUAGUCUAGCGUAGACAUAAGACUUACAAGUGAAAACAAACGCAAGCAAACGUAUGAUAUAUACGUAAAUGGUAAUACAUGUUGUGAUAAAAUUAGAUUUUUUUUAAUAAUACGAGUCAUAUAACUUUUGCUUUAUAAUAAAUUCAAAUAAAAUCAUUGCUACAAGUAUGCCAGAUGCCCGAACAUAUUUAUUCUUCUAAACGAUGGAAUUCAAACUAUAGAUUUAAAUAUUUAUUAUUUAGACAUGUAAAUAUAUUCAUCGAGUAAAUGUACUAAACGAGCAGCAUUUUUAAUUGUAAUGUUUAGUGUUUUAGUAUUCAAAGAGCGCCGAGGUACUUAGUUACAAGUAUAUAAAAUCAUAAUAUAUUUCUCGGUAUAUUCUCACUAAAAAUAUUUAUUCAUUUAACUUAUUAUUUCUGUCUGAAACGUUGCAAUUGCCCAUUGCUGAAGGUAAAGGUGUACUGAAUUGAAUAAUUUUUGACUGUUUAAAUAAUAAUUAAAUAUUGGUACAAAAAUAUUAUUCUGUUUUGCAGUAUUAAAUCGAAAUUUUAUUUUAUGAAAAUGUACAAUUUGUUGUAGAUGUUAAGACAUAAUUAUGUUAAAUAUAUAAAUAUGUAUGUAAA